CGUAAUCACUUGUCUUUUAAAUAAAGACUAGUAUGAAUGGCAUCACGAGAGUUCAACUGUCUCCCGCACCCAAUCAGUGAAACUGAUCUCCCCGUGCAGAAGCGGGGAUAAAACCAUAAGACGAGAAGACCCCAUGGAGCUUUAAACUAAAGGCACUAGCCCCUAAUUCACCCCUUAGGGUAAAACAUUUUAACCGGCUAAAGUGACCUGUCGUUUUCGGUUGGGGCGACCACGGAGAAAAACAAACCCUCCGAGAUGAAAGGGACAACCCUUAGCCAAGACCAACAAUUCUAAGCAAUAGAACGUCUAACACACUGAUCCAAUCAGAUUGAUCAACGAACCAAGUUACCCUGGGGAUAACAGCGCAAUCUAUUUUCAGAGUUCAUAUCGACAAAUAGGUUUACGACCUCGAUGUUGGAUCAGGGCCUCCUAGCGGUG
rnacentral:rRNA from 1 species